CACUCCGGUGGCCUAGUGGUUAGAGCAUCCGCCUUGGAUGCGGGAGGUCAUGGGCUCGAUCCCAGGUUGAGUCA